GCCCUGGAGCUGGACUCCAUCCGUAGCCACCACUGGUGCAUCCAGGGCUGCAGCGCCGUCACCGGGAGAACCUGCUGCCUGGCAUCGACUGGCUCCUGGAUGACAUCUCCAGCCGCAUCUUCAUGGCCGACUGAGCCGCUUCUGAUGCCCCCUACUCAGCUCACAGUCUAGGCACCCCCACCCGCCACCAAGCAAGACCUGCCCGAGCACUGUCCUCUAACGCCAUCCGCGAGGUGAGUCCAGGCCUUGGCACAAGCUCACAGAGGAAAAGGGCAUGUGAUUCUUUGUUCAUUUAUUUAGAAAGCAUUUAUUAGCCCCUGCUGUGUGUAUUCAGGGUACUGGAGAUUCAGUGACAGAAGACGGAGUUGUGCUCCACAGCCUGGGGACAGCAGAUCUGCAAGUAGAUUAUCCCGGGAUAACAGUAACCAACAGGCAGUGGGCGCUUUUUCUGUGCUAGGCUUUUGCAUGGAUUAACUUACUCAGUUCUCACAGCAACCUCCUGAGGUAGGAACCAUUAUCAUCAUUCUACAGAUAGUGAAGGAGGCUUAGAGAGGUUAGGUAAGUCCCCAGGGUCACACAGCCAGGAAGCAGACAAGCCAGGAUUUAAACACAGGCCUAUGUGACCGCAGGUUACAUCUUCAUCUGACUCUGAAGCUUGAAUACCAGAAUGAGAAAGAGUGGGGUUAGAAUCUAGGUUCUGCCACUGAUUAGCUGUGUGACUUUAGGCAGGCUGCUUAACCUCUCUGAGGUUUUCUCCUCAGUAAAAUAGCAAACACAAUCCCUGGCUUAGGGACCAUGGGGCGAAUGGAUAAGAGGACAUUUGUAGGGCCCAUAGCACAAUGUCAGGGCCCUUGUUGCAAUCUUAUUAUAAGGGGUAGUGCUGGCAUGGUGGUGACAGAGAGCCGGGUGCCCUGGGAGGCCAGCAGAUCUUCACCAGGGGCCAGGGAGGCUUCCCAAAGCAGGCCCUUGAUGGGGCUUGGAUUUCCCUGGGCCAGGGAGGGAAGGGGCUGAGGGUGGGCAGGGCCUGUGGUCCCCAGGGCCCACCAUCACCUCCCGCCCUCCCAGGCCCUGGAGCUGGACUCCAUCCGUAGCCACCACUGGUGCUCUGUGGCCAGCCGGCUCCCGAGGCGGGAGGCCUGUCACCCUGGCUGUCCCCUGGCUCCUGACCGGCCCGCCUGCAGCUGCGGGACCAGGAAGAGAGGGCUGUGGCUGGGAGGGGGCUGCCUCUGCUGCUAUCGAGGCUGUGGGCCUCACCAUUUGCUCAGCUGUGAGAAUAAAUUGUUCCCGCUCCCAUUCCUGGCUGAGUCAUUUGUUGAUUCUACAGCCCUGCAGGGUGCCUAGAGCCCACAGCCCAGUGGGAGGCGAAAAGACAACAUUUCAGUCAGAGGAUCAACUGUCACUGUGUCAAGGGAGUGGCAGAGAAUUACAGAAGCACGGACAGGGCAUUGGAAUUCCAUUUGGAAGAGUUCAGGUGGGCUUCCCAGAGGAGGUGACGUGAAAGCUGGGAGUAAAGGAUGAGUAGAAGUUUUCCGGCCAGAGGAGGGAAGGACAGUUUACUGGAGCAACUGCUACCCUCAGAGGUAUGAAUGAGAAAAAGGAAGGCACCCCAACAUCAGGGCUCUCAGCUUGUCAAACGGAACAGGGCUGAAUCUCAGCUCCCAGCUUCCCACUGGCAGCCAGGAAUCUGUGCGCAGUGGGCAGCCUACACGGCUGUGUGAGGCAGCGCUGGUUCAAGCAGAGGGACUCACAGGACAGAGGCCUGAAGAGCAAGGGCUCUUGGGAAACGGGGGUGAUGACUCCGGUGUAGGAGGGUGUGGACAUCAGGCCAGUUAGCUAACUGAGAACAGGGCUGGGAAGGACCUUCCUGAAGGCUAACGGGCACUCUUUGAGGCAAGGGCCAGGGUGGGAAAGGAUGGGAACCAGGGAGACCCAGAGCCCCCAUCCAGGUGGCAGGAUAAAUGGAUAUUUGGACAGGGUGCCCUGCUUGUAGUCCUUCCAGUAGGGGCUUCCUCUGCAGGGCUCUGUUUGAAGCACUUCUCACUUACCAUCACAUUGAAUUAUAAGCCCAACCAUAUAUGUCCCCAUUUAUGUAGGAACAAAGCCUCCAGGAGGUCAUGUGACUUACUUAAACCGCCCCAGCUAGGAAGUAGUGGGGCUGGGGUUGGAACCCAGCACACUGAGCCGCCACACCCUGCUCACCAUUUUGCUUUUGUUUCUGUGCUCAGAAUUCCAGUGCCAGAUGGAAUUGGGCAUAACAUGUUUAUGAGGAAGGUGAGUUUUCCUAAGGGACAGGUGAGCAAAGACACAGAUUCACUGCUCCAGGAGCCCUCCCUGGAGGGUGGAGACCUCCAUAAAUCUGCACUCUGUUAGGAUGGAAGAAGAGAAAUGGAUUUUGGGUGGACAACCUUAAAAUAUAAACUUGUCGGGACACUCCUGGUGGUCCAGUGGUUAAGAAUCUGCCUUCCAGUGCAGAGGACGCGGGUUCGAUCCCUGUUUGGGGAACAUGCUGUGAGGCAACUAAGCCCGGUGCUAUAACUACUGAGCCCUCGCACCUCGAUGGCGACUCCAUGUGGCAAAUAAAGACCUGGCGCUGCCAAAUAAAAUAAGAAAAUCAGUAUUUUUUAAGAGUAUAAACUGUCCAUCACCAUAGAAAUUGAGAACCACCUGCCGUGUCUUCUGUGCAAUAUAGACACCAUGUCCCAGGCUCUCAUCCCUAUGGGGAGCAGACAUAUCCAGUCUCAGAGCCGAACCCUGGCUCUGCCACUCACUGAUUGAUGAAGAGCUAGUUGCUUAACCUGUCUCUGCCUUGGGGUCCCCACCUGGGUUGAAAACAGUGUCACCUACUUCCUAGGGUUGGGAGGAGAAUCAGAUGGGUGGGUUGCCUUGCGCAUCGUAUGCACUAUAGGUCAGCUAUAAUUAUUUUAUUUGAACCAGUAGGAGUUCAAGCAGAUCCAAUGUGAAUUCAGACAUCCACUGAUCUGGGUGAGUCAACCCAGUGUUCAAGCCCUCCUAGGGCCCUUAGUAAGCAGCAUGCUUUCAUUCAAAGGUGAAUUAUACAUGGUUAAUGACAAAUAUUUCCCAGGCAAGGAUACUGGGGUGGGUUGCCAUGCCUUUCUCCAGAGGAUCUUCCUGACCAGGGAUCGAACCUGGUCUCCCACAUUUCGGUAGAUUCUUUACCAUCUGAGCCAUCAGGAAGUCCAGAGACAAAUAAGAAAAAUAACAAGGUUAUAGUCAUCACAAGUCCUCUGAAUGUGAAGGAUGAGCUGCAGCAGAAAGUCUGCAUCACGUGGUCAAGCCGACCGAGUGGGAAUGUGGGAGCAGACCCCUGCCCUGCCCCUGUGCAUUUGCAGCUUUUCCUUCUCCUCUGCCUUCUGAAAAGGCUCUUCUGUUCACUUCUACCAGUGGCGGAACUCCUAAUGGAAGGAGAAAGGCCAGAGGCUAAGCUGACCUAGGUGGGAAAGGUCUUAGAUAAAGAAGGCAGAAAUGGGAGAAUCUUGAGCCACUGGGCAAGGGAGAGGAGGAAUGAUGGGAGAGAAGGGACUUGAAGCCAGGGCCCUGCCAAGAGAACUCUGAAAACCAGGUGUGCAUGUCUGUUAAUUGCUCAGUCCUGUCUUGACUCUGCGACCCUAUGGACUGUAGCCCACCAGGCUCUUCUGUCCAUGGGAUUCUUGAGGCAAGAAUACUGGAGUGGGGAGCCAUUCCCUUCUCCAGGGUCUUCCCAACCAAGAAAGGGUCUUCAGAGGAGCCCUGUGUAUGCUGUAAGAGGACACACCCCAUCCCAGCCUCCUCACGAACACCUCUGGAUGAACUACCCUGUUUCCACCGCUCCCAAGAGUCUGGUUUGGGAGUUUGCUUUGUGUUUCUGAAGUUACAGCACCCACUCAUCUGAGUUCCAGUAAGAAGAGUGGCCUCCCUGCUACUCCAUUUAGGCUUCCAGCGUGGUGGUGGUGGGAUCAGUCAGGGUCCUGGGUCGCUGUCCAGACACAGAUCACUGCCUUUGGCAGAAAGACGUUCUUGGGCAGAUACUGGGAACUCAGGGCACGUCGGUGGAGAUUGGACAGCUCAAAGGCUGGGCAGCCAAACCCACAGCCGACACUGUACUCGAGGAACGUUGUCCCUCACCAGGCACUGUGCCUGUCCCUCACUCAAGAGUCAAGUCUUUCAGGGGAGUCCCGACCCCUACUUGGGACCUGGGGCAGGGAAAGGAGCUGGCACCUUUGGAUUCUGAGCUAAGAGGCUGGAGGGCUGCACAUCCUAGUGAACUACCUCGAAAGAUCUGGUGCUAUGGUGCUAACAGAAAGAGGCAGGGGCGAAUGCUAGACGGACCCACAAAGGAAAAGAAAGCCACUGCAGUAGAUUCUAUGUCAACAUCCCCAUUCUAGAGAUGAGAAACUGUCGCUCAAGUAGUUAAGGGAACUCUUGGAGUUAGUAAGACGUGUGACUUCAGAACCCAUGUCACCACUGUACUUCUCUGGAGUUCUUUAUGUUCCCCUGCCGUGAAGAGAUGCCCCACGCCCAAGGGAAGAGAAACCCAAGUAAGACGGUAGGUGUUGCAAGAGGGCAUCAGAGGGCAGACACACUGAAACCAUACUCACAGAAAACUAGUCAAUCUAAUCACACUAGGACCACAGCCUUGUCUAACUCAAUGAAACUAAGCCAUGCCCGUGGGGCAACCCAAGACGGGCGGGUCAUGGUGGAGAGAUCUGACAGAAUGUGGUCCACUGGAGAAGG
ensembl:lncRNA